UGCUUGUCCAAGACCAGUGGCCGAUGGUUGUCGGAAUUGCCUGCAAAGAAAAAUUUCUGACUGCCUUCGAACGGCUGGUUACAACUGUGCCGUUUGCAAAUCCAAGUGGAGGAGCUCACCAGAUAUCCCCAAAGGGGAGCACACUUAUUUGGAAGUGUUGGAUAGCUCUAACUCAAAGAAAAAGGAAGUUAGAGUGGUUAUUGAGUUGAAUUUUAGGGCCGAGUUUGAGAUGGCCAGAGCUAAUGAAGAAUACAAUCGAUUAACUAGUCGGUUGCCUGAUCUGUUUGUUGGUAAAGCUGAAAGGUUACAAGCCCUAAUUAAGAUAUUGUGUUCAUCAGCUAAGAAGUGCAUGAAAGAUAGAAAGAUGCACAUGGGACCAUGGAGAAAGCACAAAUACAUGCAAGCUAAGUGGUUCAGCACAUGCGAGAGGAUAGUGCCACCAAUUCAACCGGCGGGAUUUUCAGGACAACUGCCUAAGCCUAGGGUCUCCAUGCUAACCUUCGACUUGGUAGAGAAUUUACCGAUUUUGCAAUGUACAGCAGUUAAUUGAAGUUGUGUGAUCACUGUGACCAAAAACAAGUUCUGUCCCAAUUGUUUUUAAGUUUUGUUUGCCUGGGAGGCAUUUGAGUGGAUAUUCUAAAGAGGGUUGCAGUCAAAGUUUUUUAGAGUAGUAUUGGAAGAUUAAUUUAUCGUUUAAGGCUAUGGAUGUAAAUACAAUUUAUAUGAUUAGGGUCCUCCAGUGCCGAAUAACACCCUCCGAGAGGAGGUGAUACAUAAGUUAUGCUAGCUAAUAAAGAAAAAAGAUUGGGACCAUCUUUUUGGGAACCCCCACCACCCCAA